AGAGUUUGUUCCUGGCUCAGAAUCAACGCUGGCGGCGCGCCUAACACAUGCAAGUCGAACGGGAAAGUGGAGCAAUCCAUGAGUACGGUGGCGUACGGGUGAGUAACACGUGGGUAAUCUACCUCUUAGUGGGGAAUAACCCUGGGAAACCGGGGCUAAUACCGCAUAAGCCUGAGAAGGGAAAGCAGCAAUGCGCUGAGAGAGGAGCCCGCGGCCGAUUAGCUAGUUGGCAGGGUAAGAGCCUACCAAGGCAGAGAUCGGUAGCCGGCCUGAGAGGGCACACGGCCACACUGGCACUGAAACACGGGCCAGACUCCUACGGGAGGCAGCAGUGGGGAAUCUUGCACAACGGGGGAAACCCUGAUGCAGCGACGCCGCGUGAGCGAUGAAGCCCUUCGGGGUGUAAAGCUCUUUCGUCAGGGAAGAUAAUGACGGUACCUGGAGAAGCAGCUGCGGCUAACUACGUGCCAGCAGCCGCGGUAAUACGUAGGCAGCGAGCGUUGUUCGGAGUUACUGGGCGUAAAGGGUGUGUAGGCGGUUCUUUAAGUUUGGUGUGAAAUCUCCCGGCUCAACCGGGAGGGUGCGCCGAAUACUGAGGGACUAGAGUACGGGAGAGGAAAGUGGAAUUCCUGGUGUAGCGGUGAAAUGCGUAGAUAUCAGGAGGAACACCGGUGGUGUAGACGGCUUUCUGGACCGUAACUGACGCUGAGACACGAAAGCGUGGGUAGCAAACAGGAUUAGAUACCCUGGUAGUCCACGCCCUAAACGAUGCAUAUUUGGUGUGGGUCAUUCAGUUGAUCCGUGCCGGAGCUAACGCGUUAAAUAUGCCGCCUGGGGAGUACAGUCGCAAGGCUGAAACUCAAAGGAAUUGACGG
rnacentral:rRNA from 1 species